AUUGAACGCUGGCGGCAUGCUUUACACAUGCAAGUCGAACGGUAACAGGCCUUCGGGUGCUGACGAGUGGCGAACGGGGGAGUAAUGCAUCGGAACGUACCCAGAGGUGGGGGAUAACGCAGCGAAAGCUGUGCUAAUACCGCAUGUGAUCUGAGGAUGAAAGCGGGGGACCGAGCAGCAAUGUUUGGCCUCGCGCCUUUGGAGCGGCCGAUGUCGGAUUAGCUCGGUAGUGGGGCAAAGGCCUAGCCAGGCGACGAUCCGUAGCUGGUCUGAGAGGACGGCCAGCCACACUGGGACUGAGACACGGCCCAGACUCCUACGGGAGGCAGCAGUGGGGAAUUUUGGGCAAUGGGCGCGAGCCUGAUCCAGCAAUGCCGCGUGCGGGAAGAAGGCCUUCGGGUUGUAAACCGCUUUUGGCAGGAGCGAAACGGUGUCCGCUAAUACCGGGCGCUAAUGACGGUACCUGCAGAAUAAGCACCGGCUAACUACGUG
rnacentral:rRNA from 1 species